rnacentral:rRNA from 1 species
CACGUAGGGCGCAAGCGUUGUCCGGAAUUAUUGGGCGUAAAGAGCUCGUAGGCGGCCUGUUGCGUCCGCUGUGAAAACUCGGGGCUUAACCCCGAGCCUGCAGUGGAUACGGGCAGGCUAGAGGUAGGUAGGGGAGAAUGGAAUUCCCGGUGUAGCGGUGAAAUGCGCAGAUAUCAGGAAGAACACCCGUGGCGAAGGCGGCUCUCUGGGACGGUACUGACGCUGAGACGCGAAAGCGUGGGGAGCGAACAGG